rnacentral:lncRNA from 1 species
UAAAAAGCAAUUAUUGUAACCAAGAGACAAUUUGCUCUUUCCUCUUUGCAGCAACAAAUUUAUAAUUUAGUUACCCAAGGGACUCGUUUACGGGUUAUAAGAGAUUUUACAGGUUAUGAGUGAUUUGACACUGUGCCUGGACUAUGUUAUCAUCAAUUCUAGGUCGUAUUUGUGAGUGUUCCUACUCUAUAAAUUGUGGUGAAGUGUUGAUGAACAGUACAUUUUUGAAGAGGAUAUGAUGAAAACUAAGAUUGACAAUUUAGAGGAAACAUCUCCCGACACAGAUGCUUUGACCCUUGUUCUCAAAUACCUGACCAGAGAACAGCUGCAUAAGAAUCACCUGUAAAACAGGGCUUCCUGAUGUCUCUUCUGAGAUCCUGAUUCUUAAAGAUCACAAGAUACUUAUUUUACCCAGGAGAUUCUGACAAGAAGCCCGGAUUUGGACAGGCUGGUGCUGGUGGCUUACGCAUUCCAAGGUUGCUUGACCCUUGUUCUGGCUCAUUUCAAGAAAAAUAAGGAAAAUUUCUUCUUCCUUUGCUGAAGUAUGCAGCAUCAGUUAUGGUGUUUACAUGGUGCAUUGAACUUAUCUGAAAUCAGUAGUUUGUUUCUCCACUGCACCUGCUAAUUAUGGUUCUUGAUUUAAUCAUUGGACAUAGCAUAUAUUGGUAGAGCAACUCAGUAAAAAGAUCCCUAACUUGAUGAAAUUUCAGCAUAGCUAUCUCUGCAUGGGAGAAUGACGAACAUCAGCCCUAGCAAAAUCUGAGAAAAUUUCCUCAUCAAGCAUCAUGAUUUCUGUUUGUAUCUCCUACGAACACAGGUUUUUCCUCUGGCCUACCACUGAAUUCUUUUUCAAAUUCUGUACCUUGAAAGAAAAAUGAGGAAAUACGACUGAACCUUUCUGGGGAUAUACCAGUGUGCAAUGGAUUAGAGCUGCCAGUAAAAGAAACACUUGUUGGAAUACUCAGGACUGUAAUAAAAUUGAGUCUGAAAAAUAAGCAGCUACUUAUAAAUCAGAGGGUAGAAAACUAUGACCAG